rnacentral:rRNA from 1 species
GCCAGUAGNCAUAUGCUUGACACAAAGAUUUAACCCUUUUUGUGUAAGUAUAAACAAUUCUAUACUGUGAAACUGCAAAGGGCUCAUAAAAUCAGUUAUAUUUUAUUUGAUAAUAUCUACUACUCGGAAAACCGGGGUAAUUCUAGAGCUAAUACGUGCGUAAAAACCCGACUUACGAAGGGUUGUAUUUAUUAAAUACAAAACCAAUGCAGGGUAACCUGGUUUUUUGGUGAUUCAUAAAAACUUCUCGGAUCCCAUGGCUCACGCCGGCGACGUUUCAUUCAAAUUUCUGCCCUAUCAACUUUCAAGGGAAAGGAAUUGGCUUACCAUGGUUACAACGGGUAACGGAAAAUUAGGGUUCGAUUCCGGAAAGGGAGCCUGAGAAACGGCUACCACUUCCAAGGAAGGCAGCAGGUGCGCAAAUUACCCAAUCCUGACACGGGGAGGAAGUGACAAAAAAUAACAAUACAGGACUUUUAAAGCCUUGUAAUUGGAAUGAGUACAAUUUAAACCCCUUAACGAGUAACAAU